rnacentral:pre_miRNA from 1 species
AUCAUUCAGAAAUGGUAUACAGGAAAAUGACCUAUGAAUUGACAGACACUAUGGCUGAGUUUGUCUGUCAUUUCUUUAGGCCAAUAUUCUGUAUGACUGUGCUACUUCAA